AUGGAGGGGAGGAGUGUUCUGAGGCGUGCCCAAUCUCUACGGAGCGUCUCUACGGGCGACGGAGACAAGCCCACCUGGGCGGAGGCGGGGUUUAGGGACAGGAUGAAGUCCAUCUCCGUAUCUCAGAUGUUGACCAGAUAUCAAGCCAGCCCUUCAGUAGAGGUCCCUACUCUGAACCAUGUGGAACACAAGACUGAGAUAACCCAACACCAGACCUCCUUCUCAACCGUCCGUGAGAAAACAAAGAGACAACUGGCAGAGAACGCACAGGAGCGCAAGAUGGAGUCCCCGAUGAGAAACAACGGAGUGAGAGAGGAAACCCGUGGGUCCACCAGCCUGUCAGGGUCCCAGAGGUCGACCAGCCUGUCAGGGUCCCAGAGGUCGACCAGUCUCUCCCGCAGUAAGUCCAUGUCCAGUCUCCCUGGCCCCUCUCCCAGAGUCGACCCGGCCGGGAGUAUCGGAGCCCUGAAGGCUCUCUUCGAGUCCAAGGUCACCAAGGAGAAGGUGAAGAGCAUCAUGGGAGCUGUAGACCAAACACCACCACGUCAGAAGAUGGCAGCUGCGGCCCCAGCCGUCAACGGGUUGGUGGAUGAGAGAGAGGGCCCUAUAGAGGAGAAAGGGCCACUGACAGCUGUACCUUCAGCUGCACCUGCACCCCCGGCUAGAGACAAGGUCACUACACAGGUGAGCCAAACAAAUCAAAACAAUCAAAUCACUUUUUUUUUGUCAUAUGCGCCGAAUAAAACAGGUGUAGACUGUUACAUGAAAUGCUUACUGACGAGCCCGUUCCAAACAACGCAGAGUUAAAAAGUAAGACAAGAACAUAAAGGAAAUAGUAACAAAAUAAAAUAACAAUAACAUGGCUAUAUACAGGAAGUACCAGGUAAUAACAUGGUUAUAUACAGGGAGUACCAGGUAAUAACAUGGCUAUAUACAGGAAGUACCAGGUAAUAACAUGGUUAUAUACAGGAAGUACCAGGAAGUAACAUGGCUAUAUACAGGAAGUACCAGGUAAUAACAUGGCUAUAUGCAGGGAGUACCAGGUAAUAACAUGGCUAUAUACAGGGAGUACCAGGUAAUAACAUGGCUAUAUACAGGGAGUACCAGGUAAUAACAUGGCUAUAUACAGGGAGUACCAGGUAAUAACAUGGUUAUAUACAGGGAGUACCAGGUAAUAACAUGGCUAUAUACAGGGAGUACCAGGUAAUAACAUGGCUAUAUACAGGGAGUACCAGGUAAUAACAUGGCUAUAUACAGGGAGUACCAGGUAAUAACAUGGCUAUAUACAGGGAGUACCAGGUAAUAACAUGGUUAUAUACAGGGAGUACCAGGUAAUAACAUGGCUAUAUACAGGGAGUACUAGGUAAUAACAUGGCUAUAUACAGGGAGUACCAGGUAAUAACAUGGUUAUAUACAGGGAGUACCAGGUAAUAACAUGGCUAUAUACAGGAAGGAGUACCAGGUAAUAACAUGGUUAUAUACAGGGAGUACCAGGUAAUAACAUGGUUAUAUACAGGAAGUACCAGGUAAUAACAUGGCUAUAUACAGGGAGUACCAGGUAAUAACAUGGUUAUAUACAGGGAGUACCAGGAAGUAACAUGGCUAUAUACAGGAAGUACCAGGUAAUAACAUGGCUAUAUACAGGGAGUACCAGGUAAUAACAUGGCUAUAUACAGGGAGUACCAGGUAAUAACAUGGUUAUAUACAGGGAGUACCAGGUAAUAACAUGGCUAUAUACAGGGAGUACCAGGUAAUAACAUGGUUAUAUACAGGGAGUACCAGGUAAUAACAUGGCUAUAUACAGGGAGUACCAGGUAAUAACAUGGCUAUAUACAGGGAGUACCAGGUAAUAACAUGGCUAUAUACAGGGAGUACCAGGUAAUAACAUGGCUAUAUACAGGGAGUACCAGGUAAUAACAUGGCUAUAUACAGGAAGUACCAGGAAGUAACAUGGCUAUAUACAGGGAGUACUAGGUAAUAACAUGGCUAUAUACAGGGAGUACCAGGUAAUAACAUGGCUAUAUACAGGAAGUACCAGGUAAUAACAUGGCUAUAUACAGGGAGUACCAGGUAAUAACAUGGCUAUAUACAGGGAGUACCAGGUAAUAACAUGGCUAUAUACAGGAAGUACCAGGUAAUAACAUGGCUAUAUACAGGAAGUACCAGGAAGUAACAUGGCUAUAUACAGGGAGUACCAGGUAAUAACAUGGCUAUAUACAGGGAGUACCAGGUAAUAACAUGGCUAUAUACAGGGAGUACCAGGUAAUAACAUGGCUAUAUACAGGGAGUACCAGGUAAUAACAUGGCUAUAUACAGGGAGUACCAGGUAAUAACAUGGCUAUAUACAGGGAGUACCAGGUAAUAACAUGGCUAUAUACAGGGAGUACCAGGUAAUAACAUGGCUAUAUACAGGGAGUACCAGGAAGUAACAUGGCUAUAUACAGGGAGUACCAGGUAAUAACAUGGCUAUAUACAGGAAGUACCAGGUAAUAACAUGGCUAUAUACAGGGAGUACCAGGUAAUAACAUGGCUAUAUGU
rnacentral:lncRNA from 8 species